CGGUGUGGAUUAGUGAGGUGUAGAGCUGUGUUUGAUCUAGGGCUUAUGGGUGUACGGUGUGGAUUAGUGAGGUGUAGAGCUGUAUACGGUGUGGAUUAGUGAGUUGUAGAACUGUGUUUGAUCUAGGGCUUAUGGGUGUACGGUGUGGAUUAGUGAGGUGUAGAGCUGUAUAAGGUGUGGAUUAGUGAGUUGUAGAACUGUGUUUGAUCUAGGGCUUAUGGGUGUACGGUGUGGAUUAGUGAGGUGUAGAGCUGUAUAAGGUGUGGAUUGGUGAGGCGUAGAACUGUGUUUGAUCUAGGGUUUAGGGGUGUACGGUGUGGAUUAGUGAGGUGUAGAGCUGUAUAAGGUGUGGAUUAGUGAGGUGUAGAACUGUGUUUGAUCUAGGGUUUAGGGGUGUACGGUGUGGAUUAGUGAGGUGUAGAGCUGUAUAAGGUGUGGAUUAGUGAGUUGUAGAACUGUGUUUGAUCUAGGGUUUAGGGGUGUACGGUGUGGAUUAGUGAGGUGUAGAGCUGUAUACGGUGUGGAUUAGUGAGUUGUAGAACUGUGUUUGAUCUAGGGUUUAUGGGUGUACGGUGUGGAUUAGUGAGUUGUAGAACUGUGUUUGAUCUAGGGUUUAGGGGUGUACGGUGUGGAUUAGUGAGGUGUAGAGCUGUAUACGGUGUGGAUUAGUGAGGUGUAGAACUGUGUUUGAUCUAGGGUUUAGGGGUGUACGGUGUGGAUUAGUGAGUUGUAGAGCUGUAUACGGUGUGGAUUAGUGAGUUGUAGAACUGUGUUUG